rnacentral:rRNA from 1 species
UACGGAGGAGGCAAGCGUUAUCCGGAAUUAUUGGGCGUAAAGCGUCCGCAGGUGGCACCUCAAGUCUGCUGUCAAAGACCGGGGCUUAACCCCAGAAAGGCAGUGGAAACUGAAGUGCUAGAGUGCAGUAGGGGUAGAGGGAAUUCCCGGUGUAGUGGUGAAAUGCGUAGAUAUCGGGAGGAACACCAGUGGCGAAGGCGACUUCCUGGCCUGUUCUUGACGCUGAGGCGCGAAAGCUAGGGGAGCAAACGGG